GGGGAGCGCGCCACGUGUCCUUUUAGGGGAAUCCGAAUAGAGUUGAUCCGGAUAGCGAUGCGCGCCACGUGUCAUCAGGGGGGAGGGGUCCCUACACAUUGAUGAUAUCUUUGAUUAGGGUGGAGUUCAUCCUUUUAUGGGCUUUCAUAAGAUAAAAUACGAUGCAUGGUUCCAUAUACCUAACGAAGCAUCUACAAGCACAACUUGGUAUAGGAAGACAAAUAAAUGUUAUGGCUAUCAUUUCAUUGGAAGAGUGAUUUAAUAGUAUGACACACGCACCCAAAAAUACAUGUAUUGCCCUAAAAGUGCCACAAAAUUCUGUCUACUAUUAAUUCUGUGGCUCCCUUCCAUCAAUUAUAGUUCCAACACUUGCUCUUGAUCCAGUUAUGAGCUCAUCACCCUCGCAUUUUGCAUCCACCACUUCUCCUGCCAUUCCAAUUCAAUAUACAUUGCAUCACUAAACAUUUGAUGAAGCUACAAACAUGGACAUUUACAUCAAAUUAACUACAGAACAUCUGGACUGACUAGUUAUGUAUAGACUGAUCAGUUUACACUGAUAAUUUGAUAUUUUUUCAUACACGUGGGGUGGAAAGAGAGAGAGAGAGAGAGGGCCCUAACUUUGGGAUAGUGACUAUCGCUAUGAAGUGACUCUUCCUAUUAAUGCGUUGGGAGCACUUAGAGCAAAAGAUAGAACGCUAAGAUGGUACUUGAGGACCAAGACGUGUGGGGUUCAUAUUUCCAAAACUGUUACUUAUGACAUCUCUUUCCUACACUUGUAAUUUUGGGAUGAAUAGGAGAGAAGAGAGGGUACUGGCGGGGGCUAGAAACAGAAAUACGAAGCAACAAAACGAAUUAUUACAGAGCCAACCAUAAAUCCCCAUCCCUUCACAAUCACUCCCACACUCCAGCAACCAUACAGAACAAUAAAAAAACCGAGUGCAAAGGUGUAAGGCAUAUUAAGCAUAUAGCGAAGCCAGCAACAUUACCUACUACACUUUGCUAGGUAUCACUUUGGCAAAGUUUUUGGAGGGACAGAGAGAGUUGGAAUUACAGGUGGUAUAGCCAUGAAAAGAACAGUUAUCCCUUUUCACCUCCAGAACCUACUGAUCCUCCCAGUAAAACAAUGGAUUGGUUAAGCAACAAACACAGGCUCAGUUCUUGUGGUGGGAAUAGAAAGAUAUACUAGUGAUUGAGAUGUGAGAGCAGAAUUAAAAGUAUCACAUAUAAAAAGGUUCAGUUCCUCCUUGGUAUUAGAUGCUUUCAGUUACUAAUCAGAAUCAAGGUACUGUAGGCCAUCCUUUAUCGAUGCUAUUAUAUUAAGCCAAUGCCUGUUUGGUCUUCCCUUGCCACCCCUUAGAAGAUCAACUUUUGUAACAUACCCACCGGUGUCCUUACUUUCACUAGAAAAGCAGCAGCAUGCUAGACAUUUCAAUGUUUGACCUUUUUUAUGAAACAACCCCAUCCACAUCUUGAGACAGGCAACCAGAAAAGACCAGAGAGGUCCAUACCUCAUGGGAGUCAAGCCACAUUAAAAAAUCUAAUCCUUUUCCCAACAACUUGAAUUGCACAAGCAGGAACUGGUGAGAUCUUGUGGUCCCAGUUGCCAACUCUUGGGUCUCGACUACAAUCUUAAGUUCAAGUACAAUCAAUAUUGAGCAGCAUAAUCAAUACACUGUAACUCGUCACAAACGCCAUGAAGGAGUUCAGGAAAAACGUUGAACGAUAUUCCUAGCAAAUUGCUGGGGAAAAAGUGGACACCGAAUGUUAACCCUCAUCUAAACAUUUAAUCUAUAACUCAGAAUCAGUGUCUCACGAACAAUUGAGUGUAAUCAAACUUGAGUUUACCUGAAUACUCAUUACAAUCAUCAUUUCAAGUCCCAAACUAUCAAAUGAGUUGAGCUUUUUUGAGGUCAGCAACAACUCCCCGAUCCUCAGAGCUCCUUUCAUUGUAUAGUACCUGAAUAAAAUUGAGAGAAUGGGUUAGAUACAACAUGAAAACCAGACUGAAUGCAAAUUAAUUCUUUCGACUGGAGGUACCUUGUCAAUAAUGCUGUAUUCAACACCUUCACUAGGACUAAAAUAUUUUGGGCGCCUGAUGUCAGCUUCAAUUUGCUCGGGUGACUUUCCCACAUGUUUUGCAUAGAGUUUAACCUUGAACAUAAGUUAAAUGACAAAAUGUUCUUUUUCUUCUCAUAUGCUUGGCUACAUGACCAAAUGAACAAGUGCUUGUCAGUCAGGUCCAUCCUCAGCUUGCUUUAAACUCUAAGGAAAAACAACAUUGUUGGAUAGAAACUGAUUCAACAAGCACUCAAAAUAAUAAGAAAAUACACUUGCCCUUUUUCUAAAAUAACUAUCAAUACUAGUCAUCUGACUUGAGAAAUUGACUCACACCAACUUAUUACAAUGAACAAACAAGCAUGCCAUUUAUUACUUCCAUACUCAAAGCUGUGGUUUCAGCCAUCAAUCAAAACUGGAGUGACUCCAUAGGUUCCAGAUGAUGAGCCAAUGAUUGUAUAUCGACUAGAUAGGAAGAAGAAGAGAGAGAGAAAGAGAGAGGGAUUUUAUUGUUUAGACAAUACAACACCUCUGCUAUAUAUAGCAGGGAUUAGGAAAAUAGAGAAUAACAGAGUUUUAACAAAGAAACGAAAAUAACUAAUGCUAUUGCAACAAACUAAACAAACUAAACUACUAGUUGUUAAUUGCUACUUUGCCUAAUUUGCUCCCUCAAACGAAGCCUCUGGGAGCCACUGAACCUGCCACCAUAAACUUCAAUCAUUCAAGCUUUUUACCACUCAGUAGAAGCAAUCAGACUUUCAAAAGGAGAUCCUAAGAACCUUCACUGAUUUUCCCUUUCAAAACAAACAUCCCAGCAACUCCAAGCAAAUAUUGCUGUCACACUAAGCCUAAUCUCCAUUCUUCAGAUCAAGAGAAGUAACAGUAAGCUUCCCACGCAGCUUGUCAAAGAACCUGAAAGAUAAAGGCUUUGUGAACACAUCUGCAACUUGAUCCCCAGUUGGUACAUGAUUGACCACCAACUUUCUCUCCAUUACUUUCUCUCUUACAAAAUAAAGGUCUAACUCCAUAUGCUUAGUCUUCGAAUGCAAAACUGGAUUAGCUAAAAGGGAAACGGUACUUAUAUUGUCACACCAAAUUACAGGAACCAUAGUCAUCUUAGUUUGGAGCUCAGACAAGAGGGACUGCAACCAUAACAUUUAUGAGGUCAAGCUAGCCAAGCUUUUAUAUUCUACUUCAGUACUAGAUCUAGAAAUAGCGUGCUGCUUUUUUGAACUCCAUGAAACCAAGCUUUUCCCAAGAAAAACACAAUGCCCAGAUGUAGACCUUCGAUCAUCAACAUCACUCCCCCAGUCAGCAUCGUAAAACCCCACUAAAUUCAUAGUUUCUGAUGGCUUCAACACAAUACCAAGAUCUGUAGUGCCAUUGAGAUACCUUAAAAUUCGUUUGAUAGCCUUCCAAUGAGUAUCUAAAGGCUUCUGCAUAAAUUGGCAAACUUUGUUGACACUAAAAGCAAUCUUGGGUCUAGUGAUGGUUAUGUAUUCCGAAGCUCCAACAACACUUCUAUACUAAAAAACAUUAUCAAUUGGAUCACCCGUUCCAGUUGAAAGUUUUAAACCAGAAAGCAUAGGAGUGGGAAAUGACUUAACUCCAUCCAUUUUAGUCUUCUUGAGCAGAUCCUGAAUGUAUUUUUUUUUUUAGAGAUAUGGAGUCCACCAUCUGUAGUUUUCUUUACCUCAAUUCCCAAAAAAUAGCUAAGCUCACCAAGAUCUUUAAGAGAAAACAAACCACUUAACUUUGAGAUAAGCUCGUGAAUCUCUUGACUACUACUUCCUAUCACCACAAUGUCAUCAACAUAAACAAGAACAAAGAAAGAAGAACAGUUGGUAAACCUUACAAAUAAGGACUGAUCUGACUUAGUGGAAGAAAAACCAAACCAUUGAAGAGAAAUCUUGAGUUUGUCAAACCAGGCCCGAGGUGCCUGCUUUAAGCCAUACAAGGCCUUAUGUAGUUUGCAAACUAGCUUUUGUUCUUGAUUGGUUCUACCAUCAAAACCUGGAGGUUGGUCCAUGUAAACUUCCUCUUGCAAUUCACCAUUUAAAAAGGCAUUAUUGACAUCCAACUGCCUUAUAGACUAGCUUUGAGAAAUAGCAACAGCAAGAACAACUCUAAUUGUAGUAGGCUUCACAACUGGGUUGAAGGUUUCAGAAAAAUCAAAACCAGGAACUUGAGAGUAGCCCUUUGCUACUAGACGAGCUUUGUACCUAGAGAUAGAACCAUCAGGAUUCCUUUUGAGUUUAAAAACCCAUCUGCACCUAACAAAAGUUUUGUUACUUGGAAGAGAAACCAAAGACCAGGUCUUGUUCUUCAUCAAAGCUCUAAAUUCUUCACCCAUUGCUUCUUUCCAUUUGGGAUGAGAGAUUGCUUCCUGGAAAGCAUUAGGUUCUUCAACGUUAAGAUUAACAGUAUAGACCUUCGGUUUAAAAAUACCAUUCUUUGACCUCAUAACCAUAUGAUGUGGUUGUUGUGGUAAAGUGACUGGUCUUGUAUUGAUAAAUUCAUUUGGUUCAUCUGAAUUUGUUGAUCAAGGAAUUGUACCAGGAAGAGCAUAUAGAUUAGAAGAAGAAUAUAUGGAAGCUGACUCAUUGAGAAUUGGCACAAUUGAAGAAGAAUCAGUGUUUGAUAAAUCCUGUUGAACAGACCUAAUGUCUGAACCAGGAUUCUCAUCAAGUUGAUGACUUGACUGAGCUGAAGAUGUGGGAAGUGACAGUGAAGGACUGACACUUAUUGUCUCUAGGUUUUUAACUAAAGGAAUGCAAGGAAGACCAACUGUUGAAUGUAAAACAGUUUGAACAGGUUUUUGAAGUUUAUCUGCAAAAGGAAACUUAGUUUCAUCAAAGAUAACACUUCUAGAAAUAAACAUUCUUCCUUGUUGAUUUAAGCAUUUAUACUCUUUGUGUUUAGAACUAUAACUAAGGAAAGUACAAGGUGAGGACCUAAAAUCUAGUUCAUGUUUAUUGUAAGGUCUUAGGUGAGGAAAACAAAGGCAGCCAAACACCUUAAGCUGAGAAUAAUUGGGUUUAGAAUUAAACAAAAACUCAUAGGGACUUUUGCUUUAAGACCUCAGUAGGCAACUUGUUGAUAAUAAAAAUAGAUGUGGAAAAAGCAUCAGACCAAUAUUUAAGUGGAACAGAAGCUUGAGCAAGAAGAGUCAAACCUAACUCCACUAUAUGUCUAUGCUUUCUUUCAAUAAUGCCAUUCUAUUUUGAAGUAUGAGGACAUGAAAGCCUAUGUAUUAUACCAUUUUGUUCAAAAUAGGUUUUCAAACUUCUAAAUUCACCACCCCAAUCUGUUUGAAAGGUUUUGAGUUUACAACCAAAUUGGAGUUUAGCUUGAGCUUUAAACAGUAAAAAGGCUUCUUUGGUUUGUGACUUAGUUUUCAAGAAAUAAACCUAGGUGUAUCUAGAGUAUGCAUUAGCAAAAGAAACAUAAUAUGUGAACCCAUAAAAAGAAUUAAUUGGAGCUGGCCCCCAUAAAUCUGAUACAACUAACUGAAGAGGCUUAGUAUACAUAGUUUGAGAAAUUGGAAAAGGCAAAUUAUGACUUUUCCCGAGCUAACAAGCUGAACAAAUUGAAGAACCAGAUUUGGUAGAAAAUGGAAUUUUAUUAUCAUUGAGAAUUUGUGUUACAAUUUUUGUGGCCAGAUGACCAAGCCUUUUAUGCCACAGAUCAAAAACAUGAAAACUAGAAUUGGUUGUUUCUGGAAAAUCAAAAUUGUCAUUAUGCAUAAGAAAAGCAGUACAACAUGUAAGUUCAUUUUGACCAUUUGAUAAAGAAAGACCAGAUGCUUUUCCAAAGAGUUUCUUUGACAGGUUGAACUAAUAGAGUCCUUUAUGUAGAUUGCCCUGCAAGAGUAAAGAGUGAUUAGAUCUGUCUUUAACAAAACAAACCUUUGGAUGAAACUCAAAAUAAACAUUAUUAUCUCUAGCAAAUUGAGAAACACUUAACAGAUUUUUCUUAAUUGUAGGAACUCUAAGAAUAUUUUUAAGAAAAAGAACUUUAUUUGGACUAGAAGAAGAAGGAAAAAUAGAUAAACCAAUGUGUGAAAUUUCAGGUCCAGUCCCAUUUCCCAUGUGGAUUUUUGAGUUGCCAUUAUACUCAACACCAGAAUUGAGGUUGCCAAGAUCAUGAGUAACAUGGUUUGUGGCUCCUGAGUCUGGGAAUGAACAACAAUUUUGAAGAUCUUCAGGAGUGGCAACAAUUGCUUCCAUUUUUGAGUAAUCUUGAUCUUCUUGAGCAUCAUACUCAGUGAGAUUGACAUUUCCAACACUAGAAAUUGAACCAGAUGCUCCAUUCCUUGCACCACUUCCUAAAACACCAGGAGUAGGUCCAUUAGCAGGCAUAUUCCCAUGGAAAUUUGGAUUAUACCUAUAGAAGCAACGAUGAACAGUAUGACCAAAUUUAUUGCAUAGUUGACACUAAGGCUUGAUUCCUCCUUGAGCUCUGCCAUGACCUCUUCCUCUAUUAGGAACAAAAAACCCUCUAAUUAUCUGAUUUCCUCCAAAUUGAUUCCUAUUCUGAAAACCACUAGAAGGGUAGCCAUUAGAAUUCCAAGAGGAAGAAGAACCUCUAUUAGAAUACUGAGAGGUGUAAUUCACAGAAAGAUCAUUAGAGGAGAUUUUGUGUGCAAUUCUUCCUUCAUGAGCAAUCAAAGUCGAGGUGACAUAUUGAAGAGAAGGAGAAGACUUUUUAGAGGAGAUAACAGCAAUGACAGACUCGUAUUCAUCUCCAAGACCUUGCAUUAUAGCAAGUAUAUGAUCUGUGUCUGAAAUCUUAUGACCAGCAGUAGCAAGAAGAUCACAAUAAUUCUUCAUUUUGGUAAGAUAAUCUCUCAUAGUCAGACCAUCCUUUUUUAACAUAUGCAUUUGACUCUUGUAGAACAUAACCUUUGCAGAAGAUUGAGAAUUGAAAUUAUGGGAAAUUGUAUUCCAUACCUCAAAAGCUGAAGAACACCCAACAACCUGAGGCAAGAACGCACUUCCGAUUGAAGAUAGAAGCCAAGAAAUCAACAGAUGAUCUUGGCGUUGGUAAUCUCUGAACUUAGGAUUUGGAACCAAAAUCCCUGUUCCAUCAUUCACCAUCUUUGGUGGAACUUGCUCUGUUCCAAACAAGAAACCUUCAAGACCAUAACCCCGUACAACAUUUUCAAUUUGAUACUUCCACAUCAAGAAAUUAUCAUCCUCUAGACGCAUAGUAAUAAGCUGACUCAAAGGGCUUAUUGCCAUUCUCAAAGAUUCGUCUGUGGUCGUCGGAUUGCCUCUUCUAGUUUCAGCUGAAGGAUCCAAAUGUAGCACCUCUCUAGUAGUCUGAUUCACAUCUGCCAUUGAUGUGUGAGCACUGAUGCUCUGAUACCAAGAUAGGAAGAAGAAGAGAGAGAGAAAGAGAGAGAGGGAUUUUAUUGUUUAGACAAUAUAACACCUCUGCUAUAUAUAGCAAGGAUUAGGAAAACAGAGAAUAACAGAGUUUUAACAAAGAAACGAAAAUAACUAAUGCUGUUGCAACAAACUAAACUACUAGUUGUUAAUUGCUACUUUGCCUAAUUCAACUCAAUGUAAGACAUCUCAGCAAAUUAGGAAUACUCCAUUUUUCAAAACAUAAUAGAGAACUUUCCGAGUUUAUGCCACUUAGUUGCUUUUUAAAAGGCAUAUUUAUUUAUUAUUUAUUUUAUUUUUUAUUUUUAUUUAUUUAUUUUUAUGAGAAAAAGGCAUAUUUCCCACCUCAUAGAUUCAAGGCUUAUGAACAUAUUAUGCCAUAGAUAAACCUUUCGCAACAUUUAAACAAGUCAAUACAUAUUACAAUCAAACUCCACCUGCCAGCACUUCAUAUGUAAUAGUAGACAAAGGCAACAUAAUUGACUGUUAAUCUUACCAACUCUGCCUUCACAUUCUUCACUUCUUUUCUUGCAAGGUCAAUAUCUGUCGCCUGACCUUGAAGCCUUGCAAUUGGAUGCAGAUUGAUAGGAGGACAUGACUUUUCAUCUUAAAAUUUGAAAAAUUCCUUUGGAAAUUUAAUUAACAUCAUGACACUCUUUCGAGCCUUGUAAAAAAGACAAAGCAAGAGAACAAAAGAUACACAAUAGCUUAGAGCAAUAAAAAGUACUGGUAAAGAAGAAACCUGCUUUAGCAUGAUUGUUGAUGAAGGCAAAGCUGAACGGUUUCCUUUUGCACCUGCAACCAAAAGUAAGGCUGCUUCUCCCCAAGGAUUACCAACACACAAAGUAAAAAUCAGUGACUUUACAUACCUGCAGCAGAAGAUAAUAGCUAAGUCAGAUAUAGGAAAAAGAAGUAAAGAGUUACUCCAAAACUACUAGGUAAGCAACCGUGUAAUAACAAAGUUUUGAUUUGCAUUGGCAAGCUUCUUGUUUUUAUUUAUUUUGGUUAGGCAAUUUGCAUUCACGAAGGCUUCUAAUAAUUGUAUCUAGCAUCGAUACAAUACAAUACAUGUACAAAUACAAGAUAUCAAUAACAUUUGUCACUACAAAAUCAGUGCCAAAAGGGAAAAAUAUUUACAUAUUUUGUUAAAUGGUUAUUGGUGUUAACUUUUAUUAGUAAAGGACCUAUGCGUUAUUUUAGUCUUUUAUGGUAUUUUGAAUACGAUAUAUAUGCUUCCCUUCCUCUCAAAAUUUUUGGGUGUGUUUUCUUUGUUCAUAAUCUUCCUCCAAAUAAGGGCAAGAUUAAUAUUUCUCGGAUACUCAAAAAUGCAAAAUGAAUACAAGUGCUUUGACCCUGUGUCAUUAAUAUUUUAUUAGUGCUGAAUUAACCUUCUUUAAUAUACCCUUUGUUUUCCUCAUCAUGUUUUUUUUUUUUUGAUAAGUAAAAGCAAUUGUAUUAAGAAAGCUUGAUGUACACCUUAAAGCAUACACGAUGUCAAGGCCAAAAGGAAAAGCAAAAAAAUCAUCCCCUUACAACCCAACCCAUCAAUGAAAUCAGAAAUGGACCAUGAUGUACAAUCUACAUGCACAACAAUCCAAUCUAAAAACAUGUACAAAAAAGACCGUAAAAUAGCUUGAUCCACUAAUGAGUUGAUCAUGUUUUCCUCAUCAUGUUUCACAACUAGACAAUGAGUUGUCUCAAUCUAAUUUUAUUCCUCCCCCUUCUAUUACUAAUAAUCCUCCACUUGGAACUAGAAAACCAUUACAAGUGUCAAAAGAAACGAUUGAUUAAAAAUAGGGAAGAAAAUGAAGCCACCAUGUCCAAACUCUCGGAAUAACCUUUCCCCUACCCUUCAGUCUUUUACUCAUAUCAUGUCUACAACUUUCAUCCUUAAAUCUUAUCAAAAAGUAAUUUUUAUUAUAUAUAAGUAAAAGUAUUGUAUUACGAUGAGGCACUAAAAUAGGGACCCAAAGACAAUGGAAGAAGAGAUGCAUGCUCUUCUUAAUAGAGGUACAUGGAAGCUUGCUCACCAGCCCCAAAGGAAGGAUAUUGUUGGUUGCAGGAGUCUUUGCCAACAAGUAUCAUCCAUAUGAGAUUAUAAAGUGAUGGGAGGCUAAGGAGUAUACUCAAAUUUAAGGUGUAAAUUACUUUGAGACCUCUCCAGUUGACUAUAUUAGUUAGAUGUGAGAAUGCAUUAUUUUAUGUUGAUUUGAGUAAGGAAGUAUAAUUAGGGGAAUUUGAGAGUUCAGUUUGCAAAUUAAUAAGGUUAUUUAUAGAUUAAAACAAUCUCCUCAUGCCUAGUUAGAUAUAUUAAGUAUUAUUUUUCUAUCAUUUGGUUUUACAAAAUAUGAUAUUGACUACCUUGUGUAUUUGUUCUCAAGAGGGAAACUGGCAUAGUAGUACUCAUAUAUGUAGAUUCUCUAACAGUGAUAUCAUAAGCAUUGAAGAAGUGAAACAUUACUUGAAAAAAAACCAUUUUAGACAAAGGAUCAUGGGUUGUUGGGUUACAUCUGAGGCAAUUCAACACAUACCAUAUGUAAGAUUGUUUUGCCAAAGUAAAUAUGUAUCACAUUUGCUCAUUGAGAUUGGUAUGUUAGGAGUAAAGCCAGGGGAGAUCCUAUGUACCAAAUUGGGAAAGUUAAUAGACAAGAUAGUCCUAUAGUUCUAAACCUCCAGAUAAAAGAAGGUAUCAGAGUUUAGUGCGUACGCUCAUUUAUUUGACAGCUAGUUCAUGGAAGCACCAAAGCAAAUUUACUGGGACGCAAUGUGCACAAUCUUAACGUAUCUUAAAGCCUAAAGGUACUAUAAGUAUGAGAGUAAUCUAAAAAAGAAGUUCUAGCUUUGUCCUUGAUGCUGCGAGCCUUUCAAAUGUGGACUAGGCAGAAUCUUCAACUAACAGGUGGUCCGCUAGUGGGUAUUUUACCUUGUGCGUGGUAACCUAGUUACUUGGAGAAGCAAAGGUAGAAUGUCAUAUUUAAGUAGAAUACAGGACUAUGACUCAUACAGUGUGAGAGUUAAUGUUGGGUCCCAAAUUUCUAUAGGACUUUGGAUUUUCUCUUGAAAAGCUCUUGAUCAUGUAUUGUGAUAAUUAGGCUAUUAUUCACACUACCAGUUACCCCAUUUUUGACAAAGCACAUUGAGGUUGACUCAUUUUAUCAAAGAAGUUUAUGAGCAAGAAAGUAAAUUCUCUACACUGAUGAGAACUUGACUCAACUCAGGAAAGCCAUAUUCCAACUGCUUUGGGAGAAAUAAGAUAAAUGUUCUCAAGGAUUAGAGUAGAACUUUUACACAAGCAUUCCACCAAAGGCAAAUCUCUUCUUUCACUUUCUCUUAUACUCUGAUCUUUCCAAUUACUGCUUUAAGAUUCAUGACUUUCUGAUGCAUUUAGGCUCACUAGUAUCUUCAAACUAUUUGUAAAAUUUUGUGUUAACAUUUAUAUUUCAAUAUGGAAGUUAGACAUCAAUACACAACAUAGACUAUUGAUACAUGCCACUUCAAUAAUUAACUGAAUGAAUUAGGGUGGAUCCAAUUGGCUAUUAACUUUAAAGGCCAGAGUGAUAUUUUGUGGUGGAAAUUUUUAAAAAAGUUACAAAUAAACAAAGCACAAUGAGCAUAAUCCAAAAAAAAUGUUGGCACAAACUCAAUCAUAUUCAGUUUGAGGUCUAAAAGACAUGCUCUAAUUCAAUGUGGAUAAUGAAAGAAGUUUAGGCAAAUGCAUUGUUCUACAGAAAAACUAAGAGAUGAUAGGCUUGGAAAAAGUUGGAAACUAUCGAAUUCCCCAGAAAUUACGAUAGUCACCAGAUCAUAGUUGUUAAUAGGUACGCUUAAAGCUACUCUAGGCCCAAGGCUCAACUACUCCUAGUCGUAGCUCCUUGCUUGUCAAGGCAUGCACCUUGUUGGAGAAGCGCAUCUCAUCUACUUUACUCUUCCUUUUCUAACUCUUUUAUUGUUAGUAUUUCUAACAGUGUGUUGAAAUUUAUAUGAUCUCAUUAUUUUUUGGUUGAAGACUUCUUUUAAAUGUUUGGAAUUUGAAACUUUUUAUCAAUUGGAUUGGAUUUUGAAUAACUUUUUAUCAAUUGGAUUGGAUUUUGAAUAACAUUAUAGAAAAUUGACAUAUUCUAGGUCAUAUUUCACUUGGCUCAAGCGUGCAUCUUAUGUUGUGCCUAAGCAUAAGCCUAAGCCUAAGCCUAAACCUUAAGAGACUUUUACACCCUAGGUGCACUUAUCGCCUUUUAAAACUAUUGACUAGAUUGAAUCCCUGGAACUAUAAAUUAGUAUUUACGCAAUUUUUCUUUAGUCAAUGAAAAUUUAAAUUCAGUCAGAUUUCUAGUCAGAAAUUGGACAGGAAAAUUAAAUAUCCAUCUUCUAAAAAGAAAUAAUCUUCUAAAAAAAAAAGAAAAAAAAUCCCAUAUCCAUUUAAAGUAAGGAAUAGAUAACCUGUAUAAUGUAAUAGUGUAAAAGAAGGAAAAUCAUAUAUGAUAGCCAAGUGCUUAAACUAAAAUAAAAUUUGUAUAUGAUAAUGAGAAGUGACCUUGUUGAAUCUGUGGUUUAAAAGCCACAUAAGAAUUUUUCUAUGGGGACUGAUAUAAGAUGAUGUGCAAUCUCAUUUCAACAAAAAGCAUUGAAGCUUCCACAGUAGCAAGGAAAGAAACUCCAUUAUUUUAUUAGAAGAAAAGAAAUUUAAAAUAGUACUCAAUUCUUGAGAUAAAACGUAAUGAUGUUCUAAUCCAACCCAAUGUGUACUUGAACUAGUCUCACUAAGAUUCAUGUAGUCUUAAACCUAAAAAAGUUUUAGUUCAACUAUUUAACCACUAAGACUUUGGAAUUCACUCUUCAAAUUCAGAUAGCCAAAAGAAGUAUGAUUUUGGUUCCUGUUUUAUUCGUAAUGUGGAAUCACUAACCCCACGUCGAAGGAUUGAGGAAAACCACAGAUACACAACCCCUUCCCCUAGAACUGUUAUCAUGCAAGCUUGGGAAUCGAAUCUGAGACCUCUAAUUUGGGAGUCCGAGAAUAAGGUUUUAACCAUAUCCAACACUUGGAUGCAUGUGACAGUCAGAUACCACUCAUUUUGUGCUGAUAAUACCAUCAAAAUAUUCUACCAUUGCAACACCUAGACAAGUUCUCAUGACAGAAGAUACACGUAUAAAUACUAAGGUACCAACACACUGAUUUUUGUUUCUUGCAAGUAUUUGGCACUUUUUCUUGCAUUUUAAAAUGUAUAAUUAAAAAUGUAAUAUGGUCUAUACUUGUAUAUCCCAAUAUGUUGAAUCCUCAAUCACUAGGAUUUGUACCACAUAGCCAACUAUUAACAUGAUGAAAUAGACGUUGAAACGCAAAAGUUCGCUAAACAACUUGCUGCUGAGAUUGCUUCAGGAGAAGUUCUUGCAGAAGAGGUUUCUGUACUGAAAUUAGAGUGUUCAAAACUCAAGGAGGACCUCGAACAUCUUAGAAAUUCUAAGUCAAUUCCCGAAUUUGCUAGGAGGGAAAUUAUCCGGACAGAUUAGGAUCAUAGAUUUGAAGACUCACAGCUGAGAUGGCUAAAGGGAUUUUUAAAUAUGGAGGACAAGACGAGAGUUUCAAACUAAGGACCUCAAACAAAGAACUGGACAAACAAUUUCCAUGUUCAAUGCUUUACCAUCAGAAAUUGCAAACAUAAAGGAGAUGAGAGAAAGACAACAAUUUGUGUCAGGAACUGGAUUUGAUGCUGUAUUAUAUCAACCUAAAGAUUUCCUUCAUUACUUAGUGUAUCUGGCCUGGUUUCUAUUGUACCUGAUUCUCUAGAUGCCACCAAUGCAACAAAAGACAAAUCCUUUAAACUUCAAAGAGAGGGUUGGAUGAGUCUAAAGCCGAACGGGAAAGCCUUGCAAGAAAAAUGGACCAGAUGGAGUACUACUAUGAAGCCCUUGUGCAGGAGCUUGAGAAAAACCAGAAGCAGAUGCUGGGAGAAUUGCAGAAUCUGCAGAAUUUGCACUCUCAAUUACAAGAGGGAUAGAAAGCUCUACCUUUGGAUCUGAAAUUAGUCUCCAAAAAUUGAAACAGACGAUGAUGUCCGAACUUGAUUCAGAGAAUAAAGUAGGGAAGUUAAAGAAUUCUAAUAUAAAAUUGCAACUGGAGAAUUCUGAUUUGCAUGUAAAGGACUUAGGUAAUUCCCUGCACCACAAGCCUGAGUAGGAAGUCAUGCUGCUAACAGAUGAACAUGGACAUACAAAAAGGUCCGAGGAAAAGGAAAUCGACUUCAUUUUCGACCACGACCUAUGGUCAUCCUCUCAAGCUGAAUCCAAUUGGAUGUGAUUCUUCAGCCUUCAGUUCUUCAGCUAUCAGAAAUGGCAGUCCAAAAAGAAUAAAUUUCUCAGCAUAUUUCAGAGAUUUAUACGAGGAAUUAAUGUCAAAGCUCUUGGAAGUAAGUCCGAACGUAAGGGAUUUCAAGUAAUCAGAAAAGACCCAAAAAUGCAGCGAUGUAAGGUAUUUGAAUACGUGCAAGAGAGUAGAAAGGGAAAAUUUAGAGAGAAUAACGGCAGCACCUACAACCACCAGCAACAGUCACAACUGGACCCCCAAGCCCCACUCUAGCACGGCCAUUCUGGUGCACAUUACCCUCUUCCUCUUGCACCCUCUUGUUAUCCUCGUAUUUUUACAUAUUUUAAAUUGUGUUCUCAAAAUCGUUUUCAUCCAAAUAAUUCUUAUUUUAAAGAAUCGUCCUCAAUCCUUCCAUAAGCAGUAAGAUCCAGAUUUUAACAAACCCGUUGCUGCCAAUUUUCCCUCUGGUAUGCAUUUUCACUGUUUUCAAAUGAUUUUCUUGAUUUUCUUUUUUAAGCAAGCAUGAGCAAACUUCAUGAUUCCAAACAAUGGAAUUCAUAGAAUCAACUCAUGCAAAAUCAACUAGGGCUUUGGUGGGGGCCCGAUAUUCAUGAUAUUCUCAUCAAUAUAGUUUGCUUGAUAUUUGAUUGAUUGUACUUCCUCUUUGUGGUAUUGAGAUUAUUUCGCACUUGUUAUUAAGCAAACUUGUUUCCCAUAGAAGAGUAUUAGCUUGCUAUCUAGGUACGCUCAUCAUGCCCUCAAACUCUAAAAUUCUAUGAAUGUGUAUGUUAUCAUGAGCCAUGUCCAUGUUUGAUGCCAUAAUUGAUUGCCUUGAUGCUUGUUUGAUCAUCUUUGAUAAAAAUGCAUAUUAUGCGUCAUAUUUUCAAACUACCCUUUGAUGUCUUGUGAUAGCGCUUGAGAAGCCGUUCAGGUACGCACUUUGACUCUCUCUUAUGAUCAGACUUUGUUGCUUGACAUACUAUUUUUUGAAAACCCUUAGCUUACUUAGGUGUCCAUAAUCAAUCAUUUAUUUGCCACGUUUCCCUCAACUUAGUCAGUAGAGACUUUUAUAAGGCUUAGAGGGGGGCUACCUUUUAGAGGUAUCUUCCCAAUAAGUAACAUGAUCCUCGGACCUAGACUCGGGUUUUUUCAAAGACAUGUUUUUUCCAAAAAUUAUGGAGUCACAUUUUAGGGUUUUUCUUUCUUGUUUUAUUUUCCCUUUAAAAUAAAAAUAAAAUAAGGGGCGACUCCGACUUUUUCCAAAAUUAAUUUUUCACAAAUAAAAAGCGAGUCUCGUCGAUCAAGUGGGGGCGCACGUGAAAAAUGCGGGUCCACAAUAAUGUAAGAGCCCAUUAGAGCCGCAAUCCAAGCGUAAAGAUUGUGGAAGCUUAGUUGAAACUUUAAGGAUAGUGGAACCCUCACUAGGUGAGGAGUUUAAGGGAAGUGGACGUAAGCAAGGGAUGUCAAACCACUAUAAAAUUGUGUUUGAUCUCUCUAACUCAAUCUCUUUACAUUUAUUCCUUAUUUUGCUUAAAAUUGUUGUGGCUGAAAAAGUUUUUGAAAAACCCAAUUCAUUUGGGUGUUUUUUUUUUUUUUUAUAAUUAGAUUAGCCUUAUUUUCUCAUUUCUGUUACAACUUCCAUGUUUUUUUUUUUUUUUUUUUGUUGUUACAUGUCAUCUUUUAUUAAUGUUAACUUAUAUAUCUUAUGAACCAUUUAAACUUAAGUAUAAUACUCACUCAUCUUUUUAAAUCAUUGAAAUCGAAAUUAUUAGCAUUAUUGAUGCUUAAAUGAGAUAUAGAUGUUGAUUAAAUUAGAAUAUUAUCACAUGAUUAUAAUUAAAAACAAUGCCAAUCUUCCUUUUAAAUGCCGAUCUUUGCCUAAAAAUGGGUAUUUUAAACCUAAAGUUUCUUUAAUAAUAUAUUUUGCUCACAUAUUAACAUAUUAACCCUAACAUGUUAUUACAUGAGUUUUAUGACAUAAAUGAUUCAUGUUGUUAAACAAAAUAACAUGAAAUUAGAGAAAAUGCUUGUAGCAUGGCCCAAUUGGAAAACAUGCAUACAAAGCCAAAGUCAUCUCUAUCAAAUUUAUCAAAUAUUUACAUCAAUUUUAAUACAUAUUUAAUAUUUUAAUCGCCAUUUGGUGAAUACAAUUUAAUGAGUUAGAGCUACUAAAGAUGAAUCAACUUGUGUUGCAUAUUAGCAUGAGCAUGUUGCUUGAUCAUUUAGUUUUGUUUUGCCAAAAUAUCUGAAAAAGUGGAACUUUAUUGAUAAUAUAUAUCACUAAACUUGGUACACAGUCCCAUUCUUUAUUGAGCAAAGCCAAGAGUGCUUUGUUGUAACACCACAUACAAACAUAUAUUUGAUCACUCCACAAACAAAAAACUAGAAAUAUUUAAUAACCCAUAUAGCUACCACUUCCUAUGAUACUCUCUGAUUAUGCAGAAGUUGGAACCACAAUGGAAGAGCUUAAUAAUCAAGCUGAAAUUUUGAGUCAUACGCAACCCCAGCCUUCCAAUGACUAGGAAUCACAUUCAUCAGCUGCACCCACUUUUGCCCACGUCUCCCACUCACUUGGAACCUCAGGCUUACAGGACCCUUCGGUGGGUUAGCCAUGUCCCAUACUGCGCCAUAGCUCUUCCUCAUGCCCUUCCAUGCCUGGCUAUCCUCCUGAACCCAAAAGGAAUUGUGAAUUAGUACUCUUAAAUUUUAUCCAUAAUUUGAUUAGAAUGGCAGAUGCCUAGGUUGCUGUAAUAGUAUGUGUACCUGCCAUAUGUCCACUGCUGUGAUGUCGCUUAGGCCAGCUUGGUACAACAUGACUAGAGCUAAGUAGUCGGGAAACCGACUGUUCUCAUGGACCUUGAAGAAGAUGUUGGAACCCGGGUACUGACAUGGGACCCUUCUGUAUUCUAUGCCGACCACCCCAUAAGCAAAGAGGUCUGCAGCCUUGUUUGGACGAGCCAACAUUGAGAAUCCGUGCCGGCUGAGGAUGAAGUCGGUGUCAUCUCCUCCUCCGUGGUCGGUCACCACUACCUUCAUCCCAACAUCUGCACAAAGUUUUGGUAUCUUGCACCUAACCUGAAUUAUCAAUAAACAAUUGAGCACCAUUAUGGAUACAAAAAUCGAAAAAUCCACAUGUUUUAAACAGAACUAUUGAUGCGGGAGUACUUCAAAUUAUUUAAGGUGUGGUGAGGGGAAGGGGCAGUUUCAAAGAACACUCGUGUCUAGCGGCUGUCUAUUUCAAGCCUUCUCAGUAGUAAAGACUGAAAAGAUGAAAAUAUCGUGCAACUUUUUUCAAUUACCCUCUCCUUUCAAUCUUCAAUAUUUCACUUUAUGGUGUGGACUUUUUGAACUCGACCAACUAGAAGUGCUACUCAUUAAUUUUAUCUGAAAGCUUAUUCUCAAGGUCUAUUUACAAGUCAUUAUUGCAUGAAGAAUAUUCCCUCAGACACCCUUAAAAUUUCAUCGCAUCACACUCGUAUAUUUUAAUUACCUGAUAGCAUGCACCGCAGCCAGUCCCAUCCCUGUAUAGCCUAGAAACUGCGCCAACGUUGCCGCCGUUGACAUUUCUUCCAUAUUCGCCAAAGCCACAUGCUCCAGCUGAUUCAACAUAUGAUCAUUACCCCAUCUAUGAUAUAUACAAAGUAUGCAUGGAAGAGAUCAAUUAAGAUACGUACUUGGAGUCCCUAAGCCAUCAGAGGUGCCAUAAUAUGUUGCCCGUGAGUAUGUGAAGGUGUCUUCACACUUGCAUAGCACAGGCAAGAGCACAAUGACACAUAGAAAGCAGCAAUAGUGGCUAAGUGGAAAACCCAUGUUUAUACGGAAUUACUCAAGCAAAAUAUUGGAAGUGAGCUAGCCAAAAGAAGUAGAGGAAGUGAGGUCGAGAUGGGUAAGCCUAGAAUCAAAGUUCCAUAUUUAUAGUUGAGGUUUAGAGGGCAAGAUAGUCUAUUUUUUUCCUACCACUAUGGACUAGGGAGGCCUAGGAUUAGAUUAUAGAUAUGUACAAAUGGGACACCCGUUUUGACCCCCUAAGACCAUAGUUUUACAUUUUCUUGGUAUGUAAUAUAAGAAAUUCAUAAAGAGAGAUCAGACUUGUAGUCUAACUCUUUUCAUCUCCCCUGGUUGACUUUUGGUUCAUAUCAGCUCAUUGGAGUAGGGAGUACUGUGGGAAAUAUUCUAAGAUUUGGUCAUUGUGCUGGUGGAACUAAAUUAAUUAAACAUCUAUCUCACAUGGAAUAUUUAGCACUGGUGAGGAGAGCUCAGAAACAUGAAGAGGAAACUAAGAAAAUUAUCAAAGCAUGGAAAAAACAAGUCAAAAACCAUUUAUUGACAAACGUAGAUGCAUUGUUUAACCAUGUAUCUUGACAUUUGCAGUACUCUCAAUGAUGUGUUGGUGCGUGAAUGAAGACUAACUACAAGAGUAAAAUUGAAAGAAUUGAAAAGUGGAUUAGCUUCUAAUUUCACAAAUACGUGUAUAUAUAUACCUAUAAGUUAGGCGGAAUAAUAUUUUGGGAUGGAAGUUUUACUUCCUUUUAUUUACUUGCUCUUUCCGGACAUACAUAUAUAUAUUAUGUUUGGCUCUUAAACAUUAUUGAAGAAAUUAAAAUAAAUGUUUUUUUUUAUAUUUGAUUUAUUAUGAAAUAUAUAUAUAUAAAAUUAAUCUAAAAAUUAUUUAAUUAUUAUAUAGAAAAAAGGAAAUGAAAUAAGUUUGAAAAAUUUUGGAAAAUUAAUUUACUUAUUUUAAAUAUAUAUUGUAUGUUCUUUUACGGUUUUUUUUUUUACUAUUUUUUUUUAUUUUGUUUUUCAAAAACCAAACACAGAGAAAUUCAAAUUCAAAUAAAGUGAAUUUUGAUUUUGGAAGUCAUCCAAAUAAAGUAAUGGAUAAAAAAUGGAACGGAUUUUCCAUUAUCAUUCUACAUUCCAAUACGAGUAUACUGAUAGGAGAAAAUAAGAAAUCUGGGUCUCUGACAUCAUUAGUGACAAUAGUAAAAUGCACAUUGAAAGUUAAGGCAUCAAAUCAAAUCAAAUCAAAGUAUCCUUGAAUUAAACCAUGUCAUAUAGAUUGCAAUUGGGAUUAUUUUAACAAUAGAAAUGAAUUGUGGCCAGUAUCCUAAUAGUAUUUGAAUUGGGAAAAUGAGUGAUGGGCAGAGUCCGUGGGCUGGCUGCAGCCAAGUGGAUAUGGCUACCAGGGAUGCAUGGUUGGUUAGACUGAAGAAGAUGUCAAAACAAGUGAGCUGGGACUUACAGACUAGUGGUAAAUUAGGGGCAAAGGCACUCAUCCUUGAUUUUUUGGUUUAUACUUUAUACUUAAUAGGUAGCGUGUUAUGUACUUUUGACGUGUGCAAUGUGGGCUUAUGCUGAAAGCGAUGUCCAGUACCCAACACAAGGGGCUGGGGCUGCAUAAUACCCAAAUUUGAGUCCCACUUGGGGUAGGUGGCUCUUCAUCCUGGCUCUCCAUUUGGUCACCACAUUCCAUUACUAAUCACAAAAAUAACAAGUGUCUUUAGCCAUAGAAUUCGACUGUAAUCACUUCUGUUUGUAAUGUCGCCCAUUUUGGUGACUCAAUGCAUAGUCCUUUUUAUGAUCUUUUGCGUUUUUUUUUAUAAUAACACCGACUUUAGAAAAACUAACGCUUUGUUUGGGACGACACUAUCUGAGAACUCCUAAAACAAAUGCGUUUUUGAGAACAAUUCGAAUAUGUUCUCUCUUAUUCUCUACAUUGUUUAGAGAACAAAAAUAAAUACAAAAGGAAGGGAGAGCUGUCUUGAGUUCACAAAAUUUGUUUUCUCAGAGCUGUUUACGCACACGUUCCCAGACAACCUAAGAUGGAAAACGAUUCCCAAGUAUUCCUUUGUGAUCCAGUUUUCAGUUUUGUAGUAAGGAGACUGAAACUUUUGCACAAGGCAACGUACAGCUACAACAGAAAUAGAAUUGCAAUAGAUGACAUCUUUGAUCAGGGUGGAGUUCAUCCUUUUAUGGGUUUUCAUAAGAUAAAAUACGAUUCAUGGUUCCAUACACCUAACGAAGCAUCUACAAGCACAACUUGGUAUAGGAAGACAAAUAAAUGUUGUGGCUAUCAUUUCAUUGGAGUAAAAUAAAAAUGAAGAGUGAUUUAACAGUAUGACAAACGCACCCAAAAAUACAUGUAUUGCCCUAAAAGUGCCACAAAAUUCUGUCUACUAUUAAUGCUGUGGCUCCCUUCCAUCAAUUAUAGUUCCAGCACUUGCUCUUGAUCCAGUUAUGAGCUCGUCACCCUCGCAUUUUGCAUCCACCACUUCUCCUGCCAUUCCAAUUCAAUAUACAUUGCAUCAGCUUUCAUUUGAUGAAGCUACAAACAUGGACAUUUACGUCAAAUUAACUACAGAACAUCUGGACUGGCUAGUUAUGUAUAGACUGAUCAGCUUACACUGAUAAUUUGAUAUUUUUUCAUACACGUGGGGUGGAAAGAGAGAGAGAGAGAGAGGGCCCCAACUUUGAGAUAGUGACUAUCACUAUGAGGUGACUCUUCCUAUUAAUGCGUUGGGAGCACUUAGAGCAAAAGAUAGAAGGCCAAGAUGGGACUUGAGGACCAAGACGUGUGCGGUUCAUAUUUCCAA
rnacentral:lncRNA from 1 species